rnacentral:lncRNA from 1 species
UAGAGAUGGUUCUCAGGCUACAUCGUAGCAGAAUCUCUGUUAAACAUCAAAUGAGAGUACUGUACAUCAAGAAUAUCAUGGGCGAGUUUUAAAUGUGCCAUAACUCCUGACCUGUACAAUGAAGUGUUUGUGGUGAGUUAUGGGGAUUAGACAAAAGUGCCAUUUUUUAGACAAAAGUCCAUUUUGGGGGAAUCAUAUUAGUAAUGGAAGUCUCUGUGGUAAUGUAGGUGAUGUCAUUAUCGGUAGUCCCAUUGCACUGAUAAUGUAGGUGAUGUCAUUAUCAGUAGUCCUAUUGUACUGAUCAUGUAUUUCCUUUAAAAACCUAAAUCACGUUCUUUGCCAUCUUUACAUUUCAUUGUAGAAAAUAAUGCUUUUACACAAUAAGUAUCUUACUUUAUCUAAUUGUAGUACCAAGAAGAAACUUGAAUAUUUGUUUAAGGUAAGGUGUAUAAAAACAAUCUCCUGAUGUAUUUGUGGAUGCAGCCAUAGAUAAACAUCUCUAGUCUAUAGCCAAAGACUUCUAUAGUUCUAUAGCCAGACUUCUCUAGUUCUAUAGCCAAAGUCUUCUCUAGUUCUAUAGCCAAAGACUUCUCUAGCUCUAUAGCCAAAGACUUUUCUAGUUCUAUAGCCAAAGCCUUUUCUAGUUCUAAUAG